rnacentral:rRNA from 1 species
UACGAAGGGGGCUAGCGUUGCUCGGAAUUACUGGGUUUAAAGGGUGCGUAGGCGGGCUUUUAAGUCAGUGGUGAAAUCUCCGAGCUCAACUCGGAAAUUGCCAUUGAUACUAUUAGUCUUGAAUUAAGUUGAGGUGGGCGGAAUGUGUCAUGUAGCGGUGAAAUGCUUAGAUAUGACACAGAACACCGAUUGCGAAGGCAGCUCGCUAAACUUAUAUUGACGCUGAGGCACGAAAGCGUGGGGAUCAAACAGG